rnacentral:rRNA from 1 species
CCCCCCUUUUCCUUUUUACGGAGAGUGAAUAAUGCUUCUCUGAGCGUUUUCGGACGUAAAUUGAGGCGAGAACCGCGUUAAUCGAAACGGCUUGAACCGGGCAAAAGUCGUAACAAGGUUUCCGUAGGUGAACCUGCGGAAGGAUCAUUA